AGAUGAAUACUGGGAUAUGAUAGAAAAGGCCGAGGCUAAGAGGUAGUCCUACACACAGAGAGAAACCUAUGUGAACUUCUAGAUAUAAGAAAGUGAAGUUUUACUUCUGAGAUAUAGUCUACUCAGCUAUUCCUGGAUGGGACUGCAGUGGUAAUGCAAUGGAAAGCUAAUAGUCGGCACCAGUCUGGACAUCAUUGCAGGAGAAAGAUUCACUUCUCACGGAGAUGACUACUGCAGUUGCCCCAGCCUGUGUGAGGUCUCCGCGAGGGUCACUCUCCUGACAUCUUGCAGUAGUUACCUGAUAGUUGCUUCUGGUUGGAGAAUCAUACAUGAAAAUAUGCCUCUUCACUGCAAAUAAGGGCUGUUUAUAUAUCAAGUAUGUUAACUUUUAUGAUUGAAGUUACACAGUUGUAAGAUGAAUUUUGUACAGCUAUUGCUAUUAUAAUAUAAAUACAAUACCAAUAUGUUUUUCAUGCUGUUGUAGUCAAAAUGCAAUACAAAUCCUUUGAAAAUAUUCAUGGGAAAAUAUUUUGCUUUUAAAGAUGUCUGCAUUCUAUAUCUGUCUAUUUUUCCAUAGAAGUAUUAUCACUUGACUUGCAUUAAAACAUGCUAUCGUUAAAGCCCGCCUUAUGCAAGCAUCCGUGUUUGGUUCUGAUACUCAGUGGUAAAAACCUGAACUGUCCAGGCUAAUUAUUCUGUUCAGAUGACAGCGGUCCCAUGUAGUCACUUCC
rnacentral:lncRNA from 1 species